rnacentral:misc_RNA from 1 species
GAUUUAUAAUACACUAAUUGCUGGAUACUUCAAGGAGGGAAAUUUGCAAGAGGCAUUUAGGUUGCAUGAUGAGAUGCUUGACAAAGGUCUUAAGCCCGAUGAUGCGACCUAUGAUAUUCUUAUAAGCGGAAAGUUGAAAGAUAAUAGUUUCGGUCGUGGUAGUUCAAUGCCACAAUGAACCAGAUACCCUUAGCAAUUUGUUCACGAGAUACAUUGGCUGUCACUGCUGUCUGCAAGGUCGACAACUUUAAUGUUUGGGGUCCAAUGAAGUGCUUUCUCUUCGUCAUCUCGAGCCCCUCGAAGGUAUGAAUUCUAGUUCUUCAUCUUUCUAAGUUUUCAGCUGUUUCAAUGAUUCAGGAUUUCAUUGAAUGGUAUUAUCUGAUUUAGAAAUGAAAUUGAGUCUUCAAAAAACUUGAAAUUGAAUCCAUGAGUUCAGGCUGUCAUAUAUAUGUUGGUGAAUAAGUAAAAAUCUGGAUCUUUUUCUUUUUGUUGGAAAAUUAACAGUGUA